rnacentral:rRNA from 1 species
GACGGAGGAUGCAAGUGUUAUCCGGAAUCACUGGGCGUAAAGCGUCUGUAGGUGGUCAAAUAAGUCAACUGUUAAAUCUUGAGGCUCAACCUCAAAAUCGCAGUCGAAACUAUUCGACUAGAGUAUAGUGGGGGUAAAGGGAACUUCCAGUGGAGCGGUGAAAUGCGUAGAGAUUGGAAAGAACACCGAUGGCGAAGGCACUUUACUGGGCUAUUACUAACACUGAGAGGCGAAAGCUAGGGUAGCAAAUGGG